GACGAACGCUGGCGGCGUGCUUAACACAUGCAAGUCGAACGGAAAGGCCCUGCUUUUGUGGGGUGCUCGAGUGGCGAACGGGUGAGUAACACGUGAGUAACCUGCCCUUGACUUUGGGAUAACUUCAGGAAACUGGGUCUAAUACCGGAUAGGAGCUCCUGCUCCAUGGUGGGGGUUGGAAAGUUUCGGCGGUUGGGGAUGGACUCGCGGCUUAUCAGCUUGUUGGUGGGGUAGUGGCUUACCAAGGCUUUGACGGGUAGCCGGCCUGAGAGGGUGACCGGCCACAUUGGGACUGAGAUACGGCCCAGACUCCUACGGGAGGCAGCAGUGGGGAAUAUUGCACAAUGGGCGGAAGCCUGAUGCAGCAACGCCGCGUGCGGGAUGACGGCCUUCGGGUUGUAAACCGCUUUCGCCUGUGACGAAGCGUGAGUGACGGUAAUGGGUAAAGAAGCACCGGCUAACUACGUG
rnacentral:rRNA from 1 species